GGCCUACCAUGGUGGUAACGGGUAACGGGGUGUUAGGGCACGACACCGGAGAGGGAGCCUGAGAAACGGCUACCACAUCCAAGGAUGGCAGCAGGCGCGCAAAUUACCCAAUCCCGACACGGGGAGGUAGUGACAAUAAAUAACAAUACGGGGUUCUUUCGGAUCUCGUAAUUGGAAUGAGUACAAUUUAAAUCUCUUAACGAGGAACAAUUGGAGGGCAAGUCUGGUGCCAGCAGCCGCGGUAAUUCCAGCUCCAAUAGCGUAUAUUAAAGUUGUUGCAGUUAAAAAGCUCGUAGUUGAACUUCGGGAUCAAUGAGUUGGUCGUGCCCUUGGUAUGAACUGGCUUUAUUGGUUCUCACCUUCUAAUGAACCAUAAUGUCAUUCAUUUGAUGUUUUGGGGAAUUAGGACUGUUACCUUGAAAAAAUUAGAGUGUUUAAAGCAGGCUCACGCUUGAAUACAUUAGCAUGGAAUAAUGAAAUAGGACGUUCGAUCCUAUUUUGUUGGUUUCUAGGAUUGACGUAAUGAUUAAUAGGGAUAGUUGGGGGCAUUAGUAUUCAAUUGUCAGAGGUGAAAUUCUUGGAUUUAUUGAAGACUAACUACUGCGAAAGCAUUUGCCAAGGAUGUUUUCAUUAAUCAAGAACGAAAGUUAGGGGAUCGAAGACGAUCAGAUACCGUCGUAGUCUUAACCAUAAACUAUGCCGACUAGGGAUCGGAUGAUGUUAAUUUUUUAAUGACUCAUUCGGCGCCUUACG
rnacentral:rRNA from 1 species